AAAAUCCGUCGACUUUAAAAACCGGGGGGGUUCAAGUCCCUCUAUCCCCAA
rnacentral:tRNA from 1 species